GCAGAGCAUCCUACGGGAGGCAGCAGUGGGGAAUAUUGCACAAUGGGUCGCAAGCCUGAUGCAGCCAUGCCGCGUGUAUGAAGAAGGCCUUCGGGUUGUAAAAGUACUUUCAGCAGUGAGGAAGGUGGAUAUGUUAAUAGCAUAUUCAUUUCGACGUUAGCUGCAGAAGAAGCACCGGCUAACUCCGUGCCAGCAGCCGCGGUAAUACGGAGGGUGCGAGCGUUAAUCGGAAUUACUGGGCGUAAAGCGCAUGCAGGUGGUUUGUUAAGUCAGAUGUGAAAAGCCCGGGGCUCAACCUCGGAAUUGCAUUUGAAACUGGCAAACUAGAGUACUGUAGAGGGGGUAGAAUUUCAGGUGUAGCGGUGAAAAUGCGUAGAGAUCUGAAGGAAUACCGGUGGCGAAGGCGGCCCCCUGGACAGAUACUGACACUCAGAUGCGAAAGCGUGGGGGAGCAAAACAGGAUUAGAUACCCCUGGUAG
rnacentral:rRNA from 1 species